rnacentral:tRNA from 1 species
GCUCCCGUGGUGUAGUCCGGCCAAGCGCAAAAGGCAAGCUUUUGCUGUGGUCCUUUUGCGGACCAAUCAUUUUGCCCUUUCGAGGCAAAGACCCGGGUUCAAAUCCCGGCGGGAGCA